rnacentral:lncRNA from 1 species
CAUCCUCAAGUCUUAAGAUAACCUAGACUUGACUUCUUAUCAUACCAUAUUUUAUAUGGUGUGGUAGGAAUAGAUUUUGAUAAAAUCCUAUUUAAUAUGUGAAUUAUAGUUAAUAAGAUAUGUCUCUAAAGAUAUAAGGAUAAAUUAGUGAAGCUCAUCAUGGACUUAACCAUAUCUAAUAGGGUCCUUUUUCUCCUUUCGGAUAUCCCGUUGAGCUGAGGU